GACCUCAGAGCAGGUGAGACUACCCGCCGAAUUUA
rnacentral:rRNA from 8 species